rnacentral:rRNA from 2 species
UUAAGCAUAUCAAUAAGCGGAGGAAAAGAAACUAACAAGGAUUCCCCCAGUAACGGCGAGCGAAGUGGGAACAGCUCGAGCCUGUAAUCUCCGGUAGCUGCUGCCGGCGAAUUGUGGCCGGGAGAAGGCGAACUUGUCGUACAUUACGGCGCCAAAGUUGACCUGGAAAGGCACGUCGAAGAGGGUGAGAGCCCCGUGCGUGGCCUCGAGAGGUGCGGCAGUGUUUGUCUUCUGAGAGUCGGGUUGUUUGGGAAUGCAGCCCAAAGAUGGUGGUAAACUCCACUUAAGGCUAAAUAAUGGCACGAGACCGAUAGCAAACAAGUACCGUGAGGGAAAGGUGAAAAGCACUUUGAAAAGAGAGUCAAAGAGACCGCGAACCCGUUAGGAGGGAAACCGAUGCAGCCAUGAAGGCUCCGUUCAGGUUCAGGGUGUCUUGGCUGGAUGCGUUGGACGCGUCGGACCCGCUUCGGGCCGUGCGGCUUCGUGUUCUAGGAGACUCCUGCAAUCCCGUCUGGAGCCCGCCAACGGUGGCCUAUCCUGGGCGAUUAAGGGUCGUAGGGUAGGUGUCUUCCAUGAGCCCUCUUGGGGGUUCGGGAAGAACUUACAGCCUUCGUCUCGGUGUACCAGGAAUGGCGAAGGAGAGUCGCGACGUUUCGCGCGCUGUAGUGCAGGCUCCGUAAGGGCCGGGCCACUUCUGUUCUUGCGUGCUUUGCGGCGAGGCAUUGCACGCAGUGUCCGCUGACAAUAAGUGCGCUUGGUUGGAAGAGGGGCCACGAUCUGCGCUGUGGUCGUUGGUGUGUGUAUGGUUCAUCCGACCCGUCU